UUAAUUGCUGUUAUUGUUUCAGAUCUGGAGAUAAGGACGCUGUGGCAUGUGUAAGCGAGUGGAAUAUAAAUCCUGAAUUAAAUUCCUUCCUAAACAAAUGGACCAUGUGCAAGAUAAAGCAAACCACUGAGAAACAAGUUUUUCUUAGGCUUUUUUUAACUGUGAUUGAUCUCAGAUAGCGUUAAUUCAAGAUAUGCUGCUUCACUACAAUUGGUCGACUAAAUCAUCUGGCAUUCUCUGGCUCUCCAGUUAGGCUGCUGAAAGAUGGAGUGCCUCUUCCCCAGAAGAGACUGUUGUUACUGUGAUCCUUGUCCCCAUCCCCUUUGGAGCAACUGUCUGCACCUCUCUGAUGUCCUUUGUCACUAUUUUAUGCCUAAUGGAGAAAGAGAAAAGCUGCUGUGUUUCCCUGAAUUUUAACAGCAUGGAUCAACUGUUCUGCAGACAAUUGACCUGUCGCCAAAGGGAUGCUGUGGAAACAGCAUCAGGUGGAGAUGGCCAGGAACACACACCCAUGCAGGAGACCACCACAACUAAUUAAUCUCCUGAUUAAAGAGAGCAUUGGCAAAAUCUCCAGCUCUUCCCUUCUGUGCUGAGCAGUUGCUAUUGGUCUAUGUUCAUGUGCAAAUCUACCUGAUAGGCAUGUGCUUGUUAUCUCUAGAUUUGUGUUUAUUUACCACUUCAAUUUUUAGUGAGGAUACAAUUCAGGUUACCAGUUCUUGGCUGCUGUUUGUUUUACAAAGUAAACAUGAAGCAAUUGACUGUAAGCAUUGAGUCUGCUGUGCUUUACUGAGGUCUGAUUAGAAAACCACUAAAAUCUCCUUGAAAGCAAUCCACUUUCUAAAUGUUUCUCAAAGGUAUCUAGGAUUGCCUUGCAGAAGCAGAGUAUUGAGCUUUCUUUUAUUGUCAUUUACUUCUGAUCCUGCCUCACAUGGCUGCAAGUUCAUUUCAGCAACUUUUGCUGAUGGUGAGAACAGACCUGAG
rnacentral:lncRNA from 1 species